AUUCUGCUGAUUUUUGAAGCAGUGCUUCCUAACGAGAGCUCCCGUCUGCAGCGAUGGAUCCGCUCAGCCCGGUGCCCUCGCUGUCUCCAGGAGCUGGAGCUUUGAGGAAACCAAGAGCUUCUUUGAGGGAAGACCCCAGGCAGCCACAGGCUUUGGACACUCCAAGGGUUUUGGAGACAGGAGGCUGGGAGCUGAUGUUUGGGAUCUGUCACACAGGUACUGGCGGCUCCCAGCACUGCGGCUCGCUGAUUGUGGCUUUAUAUUCCUCCGACAACACACCUCAAUCUCACAUUGAAGUGAAAGACAAUAGUAUUUUAAAUUGGUUAAUAAAUCUCUAGAUUGAUGCUCCUGGAAGGCCCAGGAACUUCAUCUCUAUUACACGAAUAAAAGUGAUAACAUUUUAACCACUGAAGUGCUAGGAAUUUGGGAAGCUCCUUCCCGAUGCCCUUCAGGGCGACUGCGUGCCCGCAAAGGGAACGCGAGUCAGGGGCGGCCACCACGGCGCUGCCUUUGGGGCCAAAGUGCUGGGUUUGGAGCCAUGAAUCCUGUCGGGGCAGGGCGAGGUGAUCACCCUGCCUUGGCUCCCUCUGCCUUCCUCAAGCCUCUCUUGUGGCCCAUAUAAGGAGUGGAAAAUUCCCUUUUAACACCAAAAUGGAA